rnacentral:rRNA from 1 species
UGGGGAAUCUUGCACAAUGGGCGAAAGCCUGAUGCAGCGACGCCGCGUGCGGGAUGAAGGCCUUCGGGUUGUAAACCGCUUUCAGCAGGGACGAGGCCGCAAGGUGACGGUACCUGCAGAAGAAGCCCGGGCUAACUACGUGCCAGCAGCCGCGGUAAUACGUAGGGGGCAAGCGUUAUCCGGAUUCAUUGGGCGUAAAGCGCGCGUAGGCGGUUUGUUAGGUCAGGAGUUAAAUCUGGGGGCUCAACCCCUAUCCGCUCCUGAUACCGGCAGGCUUGAGUCUGGUAGGGGAAGGCGGAAUUCCAAGUGUAGCGGUGAAAUGCGCAGAUAUUUGGAAGAACACCGGUGGCGAAGGCGGCCUUCUGGGCCACGACUGACGCUGAGGCGCGAAAGCUAGGGGAGCGAACAGG